UACGGGGGGGGCAAGCGUUGUUCGGAAUUACUGGGCGUAAAGGGCUCGUAGGCGGCCAACUAAGUCGGAUGUGAAAUCCCCAGGCUUAACCUGGGAACUGCAUCCGAUACUGGAUGGCUUGAAUCCGGGAGAGGGAUGCAGAAUUCCAGGUGUAGCGGUGAAAAUGCGUAGAUAUCUGGAGGAAUACCGGUGGCGAAGGCGGCAUCCUGGACCGGCAUUGACGCUGAUGAGCGAAAGCUAGGGGAGCAAACGGGG
rnacentral:rRNA from 1 species